rnacentral:rRNA from 1 species
UUAGGGAAGAACAAGUACCGUUCGAAUAGGGCGGUACCUUGACGGUACCUAACCAGAAAGCCACGGCUAACUACGUGCCAGCAGCCGCGGUAAUACGUAGGUGGCAAGCGUUGUCCGGAAUUAUUGGGCGUAAAGGGCUCGCAGGCGGUUUCUUAAGUCUGAUGUGAAAGCCCCCGGCUCAACCGGGGAGGGUCAUUGGAAACUGGGGAACUUGAGUGCAGAAGAGGAGAGUGGAAUUCCACGUGUAGCGGUGAAAUGCGUAGAGAUGUGGAGGAACACCAGUGGCGAAGGCGACUCUCUGGUCUGUAACUGACGCUGAGGAGCGAAAGCGUGGGGAGCGAACAGGAUUAGAUACCCUGGUAGUCCACGCCGUAAACGAUGAGUGCUAAGUGUUAGGGGGUUUCCGCCCCAUAGUGCUGCAGCUAACGCAUUAAGCACUCCGCCUGGGGAGUACGGUCGCAAGACUGAAACUCAAAGGAAUUGACGGGGGCCCGCACAAGCGGUGGAACAUGUGGUUUAAUUCGUUGCAACGCGAAGAACCUUACCAGGUCUUGACAUCCUCUGACAAUCCUAGAGAUAGGACGUCCCCUUCGGGGGCAGAGUGACAGGUGGUGCAUGGUUGUCGUCAGCUCGUGUCGUGAGAUGUUGGGUUAAGUCCCGCAACGAGCGCAAGGCUUGAUCUUAGUUGGCAGCAUUCAGUUGGGCACUCUAAGGUGACUGCCCGUGACAAACCGGAGGAAGGUCCGGAUGACGUCAAAUCAUCAUGCCCCUUAUGACCUGGGCUACACACGUGCUACAAUUGACAGAACAAAGGGCAGCGAAACCGCGAGGUUAAGCCAAUCCCACAAAUCUGUUCUCAGUUCGGAUCGCAGUCUGCAACUCGACUGCGUGAAGCUGGAAUCGCUAGUAAUCGCGGAUCAGCAUGCCGCGGUGAAUACGUUCCCGGGCCUUGUACACACCGCCCGUCACACCACGAGAGUUUGUAACACCCGAAGUCGGUGAGGUAACCUUUAAGGAGCCAGCCGCCGAAGGUGAACAA